rnacentral:sRNA from 1 species
GCCGGGUAUGGUGGCACAUGCCUGUAAUCCCAGCAGCUUGGGAGGCUGAAAUGGGAGGAUCAUGAGUUCAAAGCUACCCUCAAAAAGCGAGUUUCUAAGCAACUCGGUGAAACCCUGUCUCUA